rnacentral:rRNA from 1 species
CCUACGGGAGACAGCAGUGAGGAAUAUUGGUCAAUGGGAGGAAUCCUGAACCAGCCAUGCCGCGUGCAGGACGACGGCUCUACGAGUUGUAAACUGCUUUUGUACCGGGGUAAAAUGCCUUACGUGUAGGGUUUUGAAAGUACGGUACGAAUAAGGAUCGGCUAACUCCGUGCCAGCAGCCGCGGUAAUACGGAGGAUGCGAGCGUUAUCCGGAUUUAUUGGGUUUAAAGGGUGCGUAGGCGGUCCGGAAAGUCAGCGGUAAAAGCCCGGGGCUCAACCCCGGCGAGCCGUUGAAACUGUCGGACUAGAGACGGCGAGAAGUACGCGGAAUGCGCGGUGUAGCGGUGAAAUGCAUAGAUAUCGCGCAGAACUCCGAUUGCGAAGGCAGCGUACCGGCGCCGGACUGACGCUGAGGCACGAAAGCGUGGGUAUCGAACAGGAUUAGAUACCCGAGUAGUC